rnacentral:rRNA from 1 species
UACGGAGGGAGCUAGCGUUGUUCGGAAUUACUGGGCGUAAAGCGCACGUAGGCGGCUUUGUAAGUUAGAGGUGAAAGCCCGGGGCUCAACCCCGGAAUUGCCUUUAAGACUGCAUCGCUUGAAUCCAGGAGAGGUGAGUGGAAUUCCGAGUGUAGAGGUGAAAUUCGUAGAUAUCCGGAGGAACACCGGUGGCGAAGGCGGCUUCCUGGACCGACACUGACGCUGAGGCGCGAAAGCUAGGGGAGCAAACGGG